CAGAACGAACGCUGGCGGCGUGCUUAACACAUGCAAGUCGAACGCGAAAGGGACUUCGGUCCUGAGUAAAGUGGCGCACGGGUGAGUAACGCGUAGAUAACCUGUCUUCAUGUCUGGAAUAAUACGCCGAAAGGGGUACUAAUACCGGAUAUUCUUGCUUUUCAUAAGUUAUGCAAGCAAAGGUGGCCUCUGCAUAUGCUACUGCAUGAAGAGGGGUCUGCGUACCAUUAGCUAGUAGGUGGGGUAAUGGCCUACCUAGGCGACGAUGGUUAGCGGGUCUGAGAGGAUGAUCCGCCACACUGGCACUGGAACACGGGCCAGACUCCUACGGGAGGCAGCAGUGAGGAAUAUUGCGCAAUGGGGGAAACCCUGACGCAGCGACGCCGCGUGAGUGAGGAAGGCCUUCGGGUCGUAAAGCUCUGUCAAGAGGAAAGAAGUGUACAAUGGCUAAUACCUGUUGUAUUUGACGGUACCUCUAAAGGAAGCACCGGCUAACUCCGUGCCAGCAGCCGC
rnacentral:rRNA from 1 species